GAGUAGACCCGAAACCAGGUGAGCUACCCAUGGCCAGGCUGAAGUCCCGCUAACCCGGGAUGGAGGGCCGAACCCAUCGAUGGUUCAAAAUCGAGGGAUGAGCUGUGGGUAGAGGUGAAAUGCCAAACGAACCUGGAGAUAGCUGGUUCUCCCCGAAAUGCAUUUAGGUGCAGCCUCGGGGGAAGCGUCGCGGAGGUAGGGCACUGAAUGGGCUAGCGGGCGAGAGCUUAGCAACCCCAAUCAAACCACGAAUGCCGCGACGUCCUUACCCGAGAGUGAGACUGUGGGGGCUAAGCUCCAUAGUCGAGAGGGAAACAACCCAGACCGCCAGCUAAGGCCCCUAAUUCCGGGCUAAGUGUCAAAGGAUGUGGAGUCGCCCAGACAGCCAGGAGGUUGGCUUAGAAGCAGCCACCCUUUAAAGAGUGCGUAACAGCUCACUGGUCGAGUGAUUCCGCGCCGACAAUUCAUCGGGGCUCAAGCCCGGAGCCGAAGCUGCGGAUCCCCCCUUGUCAAAGAGGGCUGGGGUGGUAGGGGAGCGUGAUGCGCGCAGCGAAGCUCAACCUGGAAGGGUGGGUGGAGCGCGCACCAGUGCGAAUGCCGGCAUGAGUAGCGUAAGGCGUGUGAGUAAGCACGCCCACCGUAUGGCCGAGGUUUCCUACGGAAGGUUCAUCCUCGUAGGGUUAGUCGGGCCUAAGCCGAGGCCGAAGGGCGUAGGCGAUGGACAAACGGUUUAUAUUCCGUUACCGCUCGUGGACGAUAAAGUCGCCAGGUGGUGCGGGGUGGGGUAGGUUGAGCGUCGCUAUUGGACAUGCGGCGUCUAAGCUCGCAGGGAGCGCGCAUCAAACCGGUUCUGCCGGGGCGGUGCGUGGCAACCGAGGAGUGGGGAAUGCGUAGGCUCCGGCCUUCGCAAAUUCAAUCGAGCCUCUGCCUCCAAGAAAAGCCAGUUGGCGGAAGCCGCGAGCGCCCGUACCGCAAACCGACACUGGUGGCCGGGUGCGAGAGCACCAAGGUGGACGGGUGAUCCCUCGUUAAGGAACUAGGCAAAUUAACCCCGUAACUUCGGGAGAAGGGGUACCGCGGUAGGGUGAACCGGCUUGCCCGGGAAGCCCGAGGCGGUCGCAGAGAAUAGGCCCAGGCGACUGUUUACCAAAAACACAGCUCCCUGCUAACGCGCAAGCGGACGUAUAGGGGGUGACGCCUGCCCGAUGCCGGAAGGUCAAGGGGAGGGGUGAGAGCUCCGAACCGAAGCCCCGGUCAAUGGCGGCCGUAACUAUAACGGUCCUAAGGUUAGGGAAACGUUAGCCUUAGUAAAACCGAACUAUAUGCGGGAAACUCCUCAACAGCCGCUCGGUACUCGUCGAAGCGUGCUUCGGCAGUCACAAUCCGACGGACAGGGGGACAAUCCGCAGGGAAGGCCCGCGCUGCAGCGGGAACCCUCAGAGACUAUACGUUCGGGGCCGACCGAUGAAGCUUGAAUCUGAAUGGGUAACAGGAUUCGUGGAUGGUGAAGGGUGUUUCCAUGUCGGGGUCAACCCGCAUGGGGACAUGCGAGCAGGGUUUCAGGUCCUGCCCGAGUUCACCGUCGUGCAGCACGAACGCGAUGUGCAGCUCUUGCACGCGCUGAAGGAACACUUUGGAUGUGGCGUCGUGCGCCGCAACCACGGAGACCGGAUGGCGUAUCGUGUCAGGGGCAAGGAGCACCUGCUCAGGCGCAUCGUCCCAUUCUUUGACAAGCACCCGCUCAAGUCCAAGAAGCGUCAGGACUUUCUGAAGUUCCGUCGCAUCUUGAUGAUGAUGGAGGCGGGCGAGCAUCUGACCGAGACGGGCCUCGCGGCGAUCCGCGAGGUGGCUCGGCAGAUGAAUCGAGGUCGGCUAAGAGAGAGUCCGGCUCCUCCGGAAACGGGGGAGGAGAACCGAGCGAAAUUCCUUGUCGGGUAAGUUCCGACCCGCACGAAUGGCGUAACGAUCUGGGCGCUGUCUCAACGAGGGGCCCGGCGAAAUUGAACUGGCCGUGAAGAUGCGGCCUACCCGCGACAGGACAAAAAGACCCCGUGGAGCUUUACUGCAGCCUGACGUUGGAUCGGGUUGAGGGAUGCGUAGAAUAGGUGGGAGGCUAUGAGGCCCGGACUCUGGUUCGGGCGGAGCCACCGUUGAAAUACCACCCUUCUCUGGAUUUGAUUCUAACCUCGCGCCGUCAGCCGGCGUGGGAACAGCGUCUGGUGGGCAGUUUGACUGGGGCGGUCGCCUCCCAAAAGGUAACGGAGGCGCCCAAAGGUUCCCUCAGGCUGGAUGGAAAUCAGCCGCAGAGUGCAUAGGCAUAAGGGAGCUUGACUGCGAGGCCCACAAGCCGAGCAGGGACGAAAGUCGGGCUAAGUGAUCCUCUGGCCCCGCGUGGAAGGGCCAGGGCUUAACGGAUAAAAGCUACCCCGGGGAUAACAGGCUGAUCUUGCCCGAGAGUCCACAUCGACGGCAAGGUUUGGCACCUCGAUGUCGGCUCGUCGCAUCCUGGGGCCGGAGCAGGUCCCAAGGGUUGGGCUGUUCGCCCAUUAAAGCGG
rnacentral:rRNA from 1 species